rnacentral:rRNA from 1 species
CCCUUAGACGUUCUGGGCCGCACGCGCGCUACACUGACAAAGGCAACGAGCUACUCUUCACCGAAAGGUGUGGGUAAUCUUUUGAAACUUUGUCGUGCUGGGGAUAGAUCCUUGCAAUUUUUGAUCUUAAACGAGGAAUUCCUAGUAAGCGCAAGUCAUCAACUUGCGUUGAUUACGUCCCUGCCCUUUGUACACACCGCCCGUCGCUACUACCGAUUGAAUGGUUUAGUGAGGCCUCCGGAUCCGCGACUCGUUUGUGGAGAAGUUGGACAAACUCAGUCAUUUAGAGGAAGUAAAAGUCGUAACA